GGAGUUAGCCGGUGCUUCUUCUGUGAGUGAUGUCCUUCCUGCCGGCUAUUAACCCGCAGGCCUUCUUCCUCACUGAAAGUGCUUUACAACCCGAAGGCCUUCUUCACACACGCGGCAUGGCUGGAUCAGGGUUGCCCCCAUUGUCCAAUAUUCCCCACUGCUGCCUCCCGUAGGAGUCUGGGCCGUGUCUCAGUCCCAGUGUGGCUGAUCAUCCUCUCAGACCAGCUACGGAUCGUCGCCUUGGUGAGCCGUUACCUCACCAACCAGCUAAUCCGACAUAGGCUCAUCCGAUAGCGCGAGGCCCGAAGGUCCCCCGNUUUCCCCCGUAGGGCGUAUGCGGUAUUAGCCUGGGUUUCCCCAGGUUAUCCCCCACUACCCGGGCAGAUUCCUAUGCAUUACUCACCCGUCCGCCGCUCGCCACCAGGGAGCAAGCUCCCCGUGCUGCCGCUCGACUUGCAUGUGUUAGGCCUGCCGCCAGCGUUCAAUCUGAGCCAGAAUCAAACUCUGA
rnacentral:rRNA from 1 species